rnacentral:rRNA from 1 species
GACGAACGCUGGCGGCGUGCUUAACACAUGCAAGUCGAACGGAAAGGCCCCUUUGGGGGUACUCGAGUGGCGAACGGGUGAGUAACACGUGAGUAACCUGCCCUUGACUUCGGGAUAACUUCAGGAAACUGGGGCUAAUACCGGAUAGGAAUCCUUGCUGCAUGGUGGGGGUUGGAAAGCUUCGGCGGUUUUGGAUGGACUCGCGGCUUAUCAGCUUGUUGGUGGGGUAGUGGCUUACCAAGGCUUUGACGGGUAGCCGGCCUGAGAGGGCGACCGGCCACAUUGGGACUGAGAUACGGCCCAGACUCCGACGGGAGGCAGCAGGGGGGAAUAUUGAACAAGGGGCGGAAGCCUGAUGCAGCAACGCCGCGGGCGGGAUGACGGCCUUCGGGUUGUAAACCGCUUUCAGCAGGGGCGAAGCUUGUGGUGACGGUACCUGCAGAAGAAGCACCGGCUAACUACGUG